rnacentral:rRNA from 1 species
UAGCCGUAAACGAUACUCGCUAGGUGUCGGCCACGGUGCGACCGUUGUCGGUGCCGUAGGGAAGCCGUGAAGCGAGCCACCUGGGAAGUACGGCCGCAAGGCUGAAACUUAAAGGAAUUGGCGGGGGAGCACCACAACGGGUGGAGCUUGCGGUUUAAUUGGAUUCAACGCCGGAAAUCUUACCGGGACCGACAGCAACAUGAAGGCCGGGCUGAAGACUUUGCCGGAUUAGCUGAGAGGAGGUGCAUGGCGUAGUCGUGU